rnacentral:rRNA from 1 species
GGAAUAUUGGUCAAUGGGCGUAAGCCUGAACCAGCCAAGUCGCGUGAGGGAGGACGGCCCUACGGGUUGUAAACCUCUUUUGCCGGGGGACAAACGGCGGCACGCGUGCCGUCCUGAGGGUACCCGGAGAAAAAGCAUCGGCUAACUCCGUGCCAGCAGCCGCGGUAAUACGGAGGAUGCGAGCGUUAUCCGGAUUUAUUGGGUUUAAAGGGUGCGUAGGCGGGAUGCCAAGUCAGCGGUCAAAUACGGGGGCUCAACCUGCGUCCGCCGUUGAAACUGGCGUUCUUGAGUGGGCGAGAAGUACGCGGAAUGCGUGGUGUAGCGGUGAAAUGCAUAGAUAUCACACAGAACACCGAUUGCGAAGGCAUCUCACGAAUCCGCGAUUGACGCUGAUGCACGAAAGCGUGGGUAUCAAACAG